rnacentral:lncRNA from 1 species
AAAAUAUCUAUGCCGACGAAAUUUCGUCGGGGGAAACCUAAUCCGGCGAAUUUCGUCGGCAUAGACCUAUGCCGACGAAAUUUUGUCGCGAGAGGUUUUUAUUUUUAUUUUUUAUUUAUAUUAAAAUUUUUUUGAAAAUUAUUAUUAUUUUUUCUUUUCAUAAUUACAUUCAUUAGUAAUUAUGUUCUAACAAUUAUUUCUCUAGUGAAUAAUUAGUAUUAAAUAUUUUAAUUAACAUCAUAAGUGAUAUUACUUAAUAAAUAGUAUUUAGUUGUUAAAAUUUUUGAAUUUGAUAAAAUUCUUAAUACCCAUAUUAUACGCGUACGUACGUAUUUUUCAAUAGUACCUCCGUAUACGUCUUAAAUACUCGGUAUAAUGAAAGCAAACGAAUUUUAAUGAUUAUUUAAUUCAAAACAAUUAAUUACUAUUUACCAAGUAAUUGAGUAAAAUAUUUAAAUAUUCACUAAAGAAAUAAUAAUUAGAACAUAAUCACUAAUUAAAGUAAUUAAAAAAGGGCUAAGGUAUACCUAAUCACAUGUAUUGAAUUGAAGAAGUUGGCCCAAAAGCAAGAGCAAAGAAACAAAUUUUUUUUUUUUAAAAAAAAAAAAAAAAAAAAUUUAAAUUUAUUUAAAAAAAAAAAAAAAGGAACACAACCUCUCCCGACGAAAUUUCGUCGGCACAAGUGCAUAGACCUCUCCCGACGAAAAUAUCUAUGCCGACGAAAUUUCGUCGGGGGAAACCUAAUCCGGCGAAUUUCGUCGGCAUAGACCUAUGCCGACGAAAUUUUGUCGCGAGAGGUUUUUAUUUUUAUUUUUUAUUUAUAUUAAAAUUUUUUUGAAAAUUAUUAUUAUUUUUUCUUUUCAUAAUUACAUUCAUUAGUAAUUAUGUUCUAACAAUUAUUUCUCUAGUGAAUAAUUAGUAUUAAAUAUUUUAAUUAACAUCAUAAGUGAUAUUACUUAAUAAAUAGUAUUUAGUUGUUAAAAUUUUUGAAUUUGAUAAAAUUCUUAAUACCCAUAUUAUACGCGUACGUACGUAUUUUUCAAUAGUACCUCCGUAUACGUCUUAAAUACUCGGUAUAAUGAAAGCAAACGAAUUUUAAUGAUUAUUUAAUUCAAAACAAUUAAUUACUAUUUACCAAGUAAUUGAGUAAAAUAUUUAAAUAUUCACUAAAGAAAUAAUAAUUAGAACAUAAUCACUAAUUAAAGUAAUUAAAAAAGGGCUAAGGUAUACCUAAUCACAUGUAUUGAAUUGAAGAAGUUGGCCCAAAAGCAAGAGCAAAGAAACAAAUUUUUUUUUUUAAAAAAAAAAAAAAAAAAAAAAUUUAAAUUUAUUUAAAAAAAAAAAAAAAGGAACACAACCUCUCCCGACGAAAUUUCGUCGGCACAAGUGCAUAGACCUCUCCCGACGAAAAUAUCUAUGCCGACGAAAUUUCGUCGGGGGAAACCUAAUCCGGCGAAUUUCGUCGGCAUAGACCUAUGCCGACGAAAUUUUGUCGCGAGAGGUUUUUAUUUUUAUUUUUUAUUUAUAUUAAAAUUUUUUUGAAAAUUAUUAUUAUUUUUUCUUUUCAUAAUUACAUUCAUUAGUAAUUAUGUUCUAACAAUUAUUUCUCUAGUGAAUAAUUAGUAUUAAAUAUUUUAAUUAACAUCAUAAGUGAUAUUACUUAAUAAAUAGUAUUUAGUUGUUAAAAUUUUUGAAUUUGAUAAAAUUCUUAAUACCCAUAUUAUACGCGUACGUACGUAUUUUUCAAUAGUACCUCCGUAUACGUCUUAAAUACUCGGUAUAAUGAAAGCAAACGAAUUUUAAUGAUUAUUUAAUUCAAAACAAUUAAUUACUAUUUACCAAGUAAUUGAGUAAAAUAUUUAAAUAUUCACUAAAGAAAUAAUAAUUAGAACAUAAUCACUAAUUAAAGUAAUUAAAAAAGGGCUAAGGUAUACCUAAUCACAUGUAUUGAAUUGAAGAAGUUGGCCCAAAAGCAAGAGCAAAGAAACAAAUUUUUUUUUUUAAAAAAAAAAAAAAAAAAAAAAAAUUAAAUUUAUUUAAAAAAAAAAAAAAAGGAACACAACCUCUCCCGACGAAAUUUCGUCGGCACAAGUGCAUAGACCUCUCCCGACGAAAAUAUCUAUGCCG